rnacentral:rRNA from 1 species
CCUACGGGAGGCAGCAGUGAGGAAUAUUUGUCAAUGGACGCAAGUCUGAACCAGCCAUGCCGCGUGCAGGAAGACGGCUCUAUGAGUUGUAAACUGCUUUUGUACGAGGGUAAACGCAGAUACGCGUAUCUGUCUGAAAGUAUCGUACGAAUAAGGAUCGGCUAACUCCGUGCCAGCAGCCGCGGUAAUACGGAGGAUUCAAGCGUUAUCCGGAUUUAUUGGGUUUAAAGGGUGCGUAGGCGGUCGGAUAAGUUAGAGGGGAAAUCCCGAGGCUCAACUUCGGAAUUGCCUCUGAUACUGUUCGGCUAGAGAGUAGUUGCGGUAGGCGGAAUGUAUGGUGUAGCGGUGAAAUGCUUAGAGAUCAUACAGAACACCGAUUGCGAAGGCAGCUUACCAAGCUACUUCUGACGUUGAGGCACGAAAGCGUGGGGAGCAAACAGGAUUAGAUACCCUUGUAGUC